GAUAAAUCAAAAGCAUGCUUCACAAUCACACAAAGAGGAAGUGCGCCAAUUAUGGUAUUCUUGUGUAGUUUCCUGGGUACAGCAAGUACCAUUAUAACUGGAUUGUCAUUUAUCACUGCUGUCUUCACAAUGUGUCAGAAAAAAAGUACAGCUUUGAAAUGGUCUAAAAACUCGGCGGCAGCAGCUCUUCUUGCAGUAGCCUUGUCAGUCAGCGUUGAAUGUAUUUAUGGUGCAACUUACUCCAGUAUUACGUACGACAAUAUCCCUAACCUCAACAAAACAUCAACGACAACUGAACUUUCCUGGUCGUUCUUUUUAUAUUGCU